AUACGUAGGUGGCAAGCGUUGUCCGGAAUUAUUGGGCGUAAAGCGCGCGCAGGUGGUUCCUUAAGUCUGAUGUGAAAGCCCCCGGCUCAACCGGGGAGGGUCAUUGGAAACUGGGGAACUUGAGUGCAGAAGAGGAUAGUGGAAUUCCAAGUGUAGCGGUGAAAUGCGUAGAGAUUUGGAGGAACACCAGUGGCGAAGGCGACCGUCUGGUCUGUAACUGACACUGAGGCGCGAAAGCGUGGGGAGCAAACAGGAUUAGAUACCCUGGUAGUCCACGCCGUAAACGAUGAGUGCUAAGUGUUGGUGGGUUUCCGCCCCUCAGUGCUGCAGCUAACGCAUUAAGCACUCCGCCUGGGGAGUACGGUCGCAAGACUGAAACUCAAAUGAAUUGACGGGG
rnacentral:rRNA from 1 species